CUGAGUGAUGUUUAAGUCGUGUGAUUACAGUUGAGUUUCUUGAGUAACACCUUAUUUGGUGUGGAUUUCUGUGCAUAGGUUAGGUGGAGAGAUUAUAAUUGUACCUGCUCUUCUCAUUGUUUUUAAUCUAGUCCAGCACAGACUCCAACACAAACUCCAAAAGGACAAAAACGAUAAGCAGUCUGUUUAUAGGACUUUGGCUUAGCUGCUAGCAAGCAAGCUAAAGGUAGCCAGCUAGUGCUAUGGUGAUUAUCAAGCAGUUUGUCUGUGUUAGCAGUGAAGCUGAAGAUCGUCUGCAGCCCACAUGCUGCCACCUUCAAUGUAACUUGUCACUCCGAAUUAUCCUUCACCUCUGUGACAUGCCGCAGGUUAACAGUCCAACCGUAAAGUGGCGGUGCUAAUGCUCAGCAGCUGGCUGCUUUUCUGUGGUUAAAUCAGAGUUUACAAGCUGCCAGCUGGUGUCCGUACGGAGGCUUCGACAGCACGGAGAGGAUGUGAGAAACGUGGGAAGCAGAGGGAGAUCUCCCGGGACUGACAAAACAACUCCCUAACAAAGGAGAUAUUAACCCGAGGAGGAAUCCCAAUCCAGGCCGUUUGAAGCUGACAGUUAAUGAGAGUCUGCAAAAAUCUGUUUACAGCUCAAACUGCAGCCUGGAAUUAAAUAUUGGACUCUG